rnacentral:lncRNA from 1 species
UGGAAAUGCUGGGCCCUUCGAGGUUAGCUUAAACUGAAGAGAGGAACUUGGUUAGAAUACAGACAUCUCUGAUGCUGUGUCCCGGAUGUUGAGCUUCCAGCUCUGAUGGCACGUUCUGUCAACUCAGCUCUGUUUUGAGUGGAACUGAACACUCAGUGAUGGCUAAAAACAGCAGUUGACUAAACUAAUUAAGCUACAUGUAGACGGUGACGGAGGCGGAAAGAUAGGCCGAGACAGGCCCUUUGGAAAUUAUCCUGAGCAUUCUUCUUUUACAGAAGAACAGUAAAACAGACUUGUUAUUGGCAGCCCAUUAGUGCUCAGGAGAGGCGGUCUCCAGCAUGACAUCAGCCGGCGGCUCGACCCAAAUCUAGUAUUUCACCAGAGAGCCUAACGCUGCUGGCUUUCCAACUGUGUGGAAGACGAUACAGGCGUAACAAAGACAAGGAUGAAAUAAGUCCUGUGAUGGAGAGACAAGCAAAAUUCUACCUGACUUCACAGGAGGAAGAAGUGUGCUGUGCCAGGGGGAACAGGAGAAAGCUUCAUGGAAGAGCGACAUUCACGAGAGAGACGAAUAGGACACGGUCAUCCGAGUGCCGAGGCGCGGAAGCGCGAACUGCCCGGAGCGACCUGGCUUGGCGCACAGACUCAUUAACCAAGCCCGAGAGGAGGCAGCAAUGCGUGUGCGGGAAAGGGAGCGGUUCUCAAAAUACAAAGUGAUAAAACAGCUUCCAGUUAUAUUGAAAAACGAUGCAAACCCUCAAUUCCUUUUUUUUUUUUUUGGACCUGGCCGGACCUGGAAAUGCCGGUUAUAAACAAGAAUAAAAACUUGAAUUUAUUGGUGGAAGUCCUGUUAAAAGAGCUCAACACAAGCAUAUGAGACAAACUGCAAGAAGCAAACAGUCUCCAUUCAGAGAGCAGGACCACACUCUGGGUUCUUGUUUAAGCGUUUGACGUGCACAUGAGACACCUAACAAAGCCUGAAACUAAAUUUAUUUUUCACUACAUCUCUCUGGUAUC